GAUGAACGCUGGCGGCGUGCCUAAUACAUGCAAGUCGAGCGAACGGACGAGAAGCUUGCUUCUCUGAUGUUAGCGGCGGACGGGUGAGUAACACGUGGAUAACCUACCUAUAAGACUGGGAUAACUUCGGGAAACCGGAGCUAAUACCGGAUAAUAUUUUGAACCGCAUGGUUCAAAAGUAAAAGACGGUCUUGCUGUCACUUAUAGAUGGAUCCGCGCUGCAUUAGCUAGUUGGUAAGGUAACGGCCUACCAAGGCAACGAUGCAUAGCCGACCUGAGAGGGUGAUCGGCCACACUGGAACUGAGACACGGUCCAGACUCCUACGGGAGGCAGCAGUAGGGAAUCUUCCGCAAUGGGCGAAAGCCUGACGGAGCAACGCCGCGUGAGUGAUGAAGGUCUUCGGAUCGUAAAACUCUGUUAUUAGGGAAGAACAUAUGUGUAAGUAACUGUGCACAUCUUGACGGUACCUAAUCAGAAAGCCACGGCUAACUACGUG
rnacentral:rRNA from 1 species